rnacentral:rRNA from 1 species
UAGGGAGUUUUCGGCAAUGGGGGAAACCCUGACCGAGCAACGCCGCGUGAGUGAUGAAGGUCUUCGGAUUGUAAAGCUCUGUUACAGGGGACGAAUGGUCAGCCUAGGAAAUGAGGUUGGCUCGACGGUACCCUGCCAGAAAGUGACGGCUAACUACGUGCCAGCAGCCGCGGUAAUACGUAGGUCACGAGCGUUAUCCGGAAUUAUUGGGCGUAAAGAGUGAGCAGGCGGUGAAGUAAGUCUGGAGUGAAAGCGUGGGGCUUAACCCCAUAUAGCUUUGGAAACUACUUCGCUAGAGUACGUCAGAGGUUAACAGAACUCCGUGUGUAGCGGUGAAAUGCGUAGAUAUACGGAGGAACACCAGUGGCGAAAGCGGCCUCCUGGACCAUUCCUGACACUCAGACGCGAAAGCCAGGGUAGCAAACG